AAACAUGUAACUCGUGUGAUAAUAUUAGUUAUAAUUUUAAUCUUCGAGCGUUCAAAGCGAUUUUACGAAUAUUUGCUAAACAUCCAGCUGAGGCCUCCUGUACAUCGGGAUCUCGUGACGCAAUAGUCUCCAUUAGGAACUCUGCGUCAUCAGGCAACGAUGUCGGAUUAUACCAUCUGUCUUCUUCAAACUCGCUCAACGUCAUACUGUAACUUGAACUGUCAUCUGAUUGUGCGGGUUCCUCGACAAUUAACGUGUACAAAGCACUAGGGCCCUAAUAUCCAAAAAUGGAUAUCAUAUACAAAUUUUAUUAUUAAAUAGUCAAUAACUUAAUGUACACAUUCUAUGUUAUAUAAACCCAUAUUGUGUUAUUGGAAAUUUAUUAGUAAUUUAACUAAUAAAAAUUUAUUGUAAGCAUGUUAAAUAAUGUGAUUGACUAUUAAAAUAAACAAAUUAUAAUUAUUA